rnacentral:lncRNA from 1 species
AGGGUGAAAAAGGUAUACGAGGAGACAGAUGCAGAGGGUAAGAGAGCCCUAAAGGCUUUUCCAAAUGAAGAAAGCUAACAAGAAUAGACUACGUAUAUUCAUAGUAACAAUAUUUAUAACUUUUACUUUCUCUGUUUUUUUUCUGUAAAUUGUCAGCGAAAUUUAAGGGCUACACAAGCCUACAAAGUACUACAAUCUUACAGUCAAUAAUUUUGACAAC